rnacentral:rRNA from 1 species
GUCGAGCGGAACGGCAGUAUUGAAGCUUCGGUGGAUUUACUGGACGUCGAGCGGCGGACGGGUGAGUAACGGCUGGGAACCUGCCCUGACGAGGGGGAUAACCGUUGGAAACGACGGCUAAUACCGCAUAAUGUCUUGAUUCGUUAGAGUCAGGACCAAAGGUGGCCUCUACAUGUAAGCUAUCGCGUUGGGAUGGGCCCAGUUAGGAUUAGCUAGUUGGUAAGGUAAUGGCUUACCAAGGCAACGAUCCUUAGCUGGUUUGAGAGGAUGAUCAGCCACACUGGGACUGAGACACGGCCCAGACUCCUACGGGAGGCAGCAGUGGGGAAUAUUGCACAAUGGGGGAGACCCUGAUGCAGCCAUGCCGCGUGUGUGAAGAAGGCCUUCGGGUUGUAAAGCACUUUCAGCAGUGAGGAAGGUCGUGUACUUAAUACGUGCACGGCUUGACGUUAGCUGCAGAAGAAGCACCGGCUAACUCCGUGCCAGCAGCCGCGGUAAUACGGAGGGUGCGAGCGUUAAUCGGAAUUACUGGGCGUAAAGCGCAUGCAGGCGGUUUGUUAAGUCAGAUGUGAAAGCCCGGGGCUCAACCUCGGAACCGCAUUUGAAACUGGCAGGCUAGAGUCUUGUAGAGGGGGGUAGAAUUUCAGGUGUAGCGGUGAAAUGCGUAGAGAUCUGAAGGAAUACCAGUGGCGAAGGCGGCCCCCUGGACAAAGACUGACGCUCAGAUGCGAAAGCGUGGGUAGCAAACAGGAUUAGAUACCCUGGUAGUCCACGCCGUAAACGCUGUCUACUUGGAGGUUGAGGUUUUAGACUUUGGCUUUCGGCGCUAACGCAUUAAGUAGACC